CUAUCUCUCCCACUCUUCAUUUUUUUCAUUUUCAUUAUCUAUCUUAUCCGCCCUCUCUCUCUCUCUCUCUCUCUCUCUCUUUCUCAUUCUCUCUCUUUCUCUCUUCUUCCUUUUCCCACCUACAGGGCUCUUGCUCUUCGUACACGGCCAGACGGAUUCGUGAUUCUGGGGCGGCUCUCCGUAAUGCAACCGAAUUCAUCGAGAGAAAGGAAUAAACUCUCCACAACGCAUAAUAUCGAGGUCUCUACAAUGAUGAACGAAGGAGAGGACCCGAAAGGAGGAGGAAUGGUUAUCUUUUGGAAUGAAUCGGAUCAAGUCAGAAGAAUGGAAUACAGAAGAGAGAAAGAAAGAGAGAGAGAGAGAGAGAGAGAGAGAGAGAGAGAGAGAGAGAGAGAGAGAGAGAGAGAGAGAGAGAGAUAGAAAGGAAAGAGAAGGAGGAGAGAGAGAGAGAGAGAGAGAAAUAAAGAAAAAAAGAAAGAGAUAGAGGUAGAGAAAGAGACAGACAUCCCUCCGACGAGAGCGUACAUCGUUAAUGGAAAUAGACGUUAUCAGCUCUAUACUUGAUGACACUAACCCGUAGAUCCGAACUUGUGGGCUUUUUUAUAUGCAUACCGCAAGCUCCUAUCUACCGGUACAUGUAGUCAGGCCGGCGUUAAAAGCUCUCGGACGGAGAUCCUCUUCCUCCUCCCGCCCCGCAACCCCCCACUCUCUCUCUCUGUGACCUCCCAAAUAAUACUUACAGCACUUCCGGUUUAAGAGACGCCUAACUCUUCUUGUCAAGUUAUUUCCUCGAAAGAGAGAGAGAGAGACAGAGAGAAAGAGAGAA